rnacentral:lncRNA from 1 species
AUGGAGGGAGAUGACGUCACUCUGCUCUGUAAAACAAAGACCACUCCCUCCAACCUCACAGCUGCUUUCUAUAAAGAUGGCGUCUUCAUCAGGAAGCAGCCUACAGGUCACAUGACCAUCCAGCAUGUUUCCAGGUCUGAUGAAGGCCUCUACAAGUGUGACAUCAGCGGUCAUGGAGAGUCUCCAUCCAGCUGGAUCACUGUCACAGAAAAACCCACCACUCCAGCUCCGCCUGCACCCACCUCUCGUCCUGGUUUACCUCAUCUACUUCCUGUGUUGGUCUUUGGAUCAGUCUGUGUUUUGUUUCUGCUGGUGUUACUGGUUCUACUGAUGAGGGACUGUGUCUGCAGAAAACUUGAAGCUGAUCAAGAAGCUGGAGAAGAUGCCAUCACAGAUGACACCACGUACAGCGACAUCAAAAUAGCACAGGAGCCUCAGCAACCAGUGAGAGAGGCCAGAGAGACGCCAUCAAAGCCAGAGGUCAUCUACUCUUCAGUGAAGAAGUUCACCCGUCCAACCACUGACGACCAGGCCAUCAGACCGGAGUGCAUUUAA